rnacentral:rRNA from 1 species
UUGAACGCUGGCGGCCGGCCUAACACAUGCACGUCGAACGGUAACAGGAAGAAGCUUGCUUCUUUGCUGACGAGUGGCGGACGGGUGAGUAAUGUCUGGGAAACUGCCUGAUGGAGGGGGAUAACUACUGGAAACGGUAGCUAAUACCGCAUAACGUCGCAAGACCAAAGAGGGGGACCUUCGGGCCUCUUGCCAUCGGAUGUGCCCAGAUGGGAUUAGCUAGUAGGUGGGGUAACGGCUCACCUAGGCGACGAUCCCUAGCUGGUCUGAGAGGAUGACCAGCCACACUGGAACUGAGACACGGUCCAGACUCCUACGGGAGGCAGCAGUGGGGAAUAUUGCACAAUGGGCGCAAGCCUGAUGCAGCCAUGCCGCGUGUAUGAAGAAGGCCUUCGGGUUGUAAAGUACUUUCAGCGGGGAGGAAGGGAGUAAAGUUAAUACCUUUACUCAUUGACGUUACCCGCAGAAGAAGCACCGGCUAACUCCGUG